rnacentral:lncRNA from 1 species
AGACUCCCCAAUGAAUGGCUCCCCUGGGUAGUCUUAUUUAUCUUCCACUGUGGACAGAAAUGGCAGAUGAAAAAGUUUGAGAUCAGAGUGGUAAAAAUUGUGGAAAUACUGCUGGUGGAAUUCUGCCUUCAGCAUUCCAUCUUGCUCAUGUUACAGUUCUGUGUUACAAGAUGAAGUUGACACUUCCCUGGAGGGGCAGUUUAAUUGAUGUAGUUUCUCUCAUGCCCUCUUAGAGAGAUGAUGCUCUUGUUGUAUACUCCAUAACCAAAUAUCCAUUCUAAAUCAUCUUGUGUCC